rnacentral:rRNA from 1 species
AUUGAACGCUGGCGGCAUGCUUUACACAUGCAAGUCGAACGGUAACAGGCCGCAAGGUGCUGACGAGUGGCGAACGGGUGAGUAAUGCAUCGGAACGUGCCCAGUCGUGGGGGAUAACUACUCGAAAGAGUAGCUAAUACCGCAUACGAUCUAUGGAUGAAAGCGGGUGACCGUAAGGCCUCGCGCGAUUGGAGCGGCCGAUGUCAGAUUAGGUAGUUGGUGGGGUAAAGGCUCACCAAGCCAACGAUCUGUAGCUGGUCUGAGAGGACGACCAGCCACACUGGGACUGAGACACGGCCCAGACUCCUACGGGAGGCAGCAGUGGGGAAUUUUGGACAAUGGGCGCAAGCCUGAUCCAGCAAUGCCGCGUGCAGGAAGAAGGCCUUCGGGUUGUAAACUGCUUUUGUACGGAACGAAACGGCUCUGGUUAAUACCCGGGGCUAAUGACGGUACCGUAAGAAUGAGCACCGGCUAACUACGUG